rnacentral:rRNA from 1 species
CGUAAGCAACCUGCCUAUCAGAGGGGAACAACAGUUAGAAAUGACUGCUAAUACCGCAUAUACCUAAGCAUCGCAUGAUGCAAUAGGGAAAGGAGCAAUCCGCUGAUAGAUGGGCUUGCGUCUGAUUAGAUAGUUGGUGGGGUAACGGCCUACCAAGUCGACGAUCAGUAGCCGGACUGAGAGGUUGAACGGCCACAUUGGGACUGAGAUACGGCCCAGACUCCUACGGGAGGCAGCAG